rnacentral:rRNA from 1 species
AAUCAACGCUGGCGGCGUGCCUAACACAUGCAAGUCGAGCGAGAAAAGGGGAGCAAUCCCCUGAGUACAGCGGCGCACGGGUGAGUAACACGUGGGUAAUCUGCCCUGGAGUGGGGAAUAACACCGGGAAACCGGUGCUAAUACCGCAUACGAUCACAGAGUCUGCGGAUUUUGUGAUGAAAGGAGCAAUUCGCUCUAGGAGGAGCCCGCGGCUGAUUAGCUAGUUGGUGAGGUAAUGGCUCACCAAGGCAACGAUCAGUAUCCGGUCUGAGAGGACGGUCGGACACACUGGAACUGAGACACGGUCCAGACUCCUACGGGAGGCAGCAGUGGGGAAUUUUUGGCAAUGGGGGCAACCCUGACCAAGCAACGCCGCGUGGGUGAUGAAGUCUCUUGGGACGUAAAACCCUUUCGACGGGGACGAAGCCGCAAGGUUGACGGUACCCGUAGAAGAAGCCCCGGCUAACUCCGUGCCAGCAGCCGCGGUAAUACGGGGGGGGCAAGCGUUGUUCGGAAUUACUGGGCGUAAAGG